rnacentral:rRNA from 1 species
UACGGGGGGUGCAAGCGUUGUUCGGAAUUACUGGGCGUAAAGGGCUCGUAGGUGGCCAACUAAGUCAGACGUGAAAUCCCUCGGCUUAACCGGGGAACUGCGUCUGAUACUGGAUGGCUUGAGUUUGGGAGAGGGAUGCGGAAUUCCAGGUGUAGCGGUGAAAUGCGUAGAUAUCUGGAGGAACACCGGUGGCGAAGGCGGCAUCCUGGACCAACACUGACACUGAGGAGCGAAAGCCAGGGGAGCAAACGGG